AUUGCCUAUAUAGAAUGAUCAUAUUGUAAGAGAGGAGGAGGACCACGAAAUUGAAGAGAAAGGAGUGAGAAAAGAGUGAAAAAAGAGAGAAAAUUUGAGUUGUUUAGCCAAAAAUAUUUCUAUCUUCCAUAUACACCCCAUACCUUCCAUAGCUACUGAAAUUCCUCAUUUCCAUACACCAAAAUCACUCCAAAAAUUCUGAUAUAGCCAAAGAUCAAUCGCCUCGAUCAUAAGGAAGAAUGUUUAGUGAUUGAAAGUGAGAAAAACUUGAGAGUUAGCCACUUUCCAUACCACAAACUCCAUAAACUCCAUAAUUUCGAAUUGAGGAUUUGAGAACACACUUCCUACACUUGAGGGUGAUCAAGAGGAAGUUUGGAAAUCAAGAAGUUCAAUCUUUCUUUGGAAGGUUUUGCUUGGCCUAGUUCGCCGGCCGGCCUAUUUGGCCGGUCGGUUAGCUUCUUCCGAACAAGAUGGCGUAAUCUCCCAAUAUUGACCAAUUUCCGCCGGCGGUUCUAAAGAACAUGAAGCUUUUAUUUUAUUUAUUUAUUUUAUUUUGAGUGUAUUGUGAGGUUUUUAUUUUGUUGUAAUAUUCUCCUCAUCCCUCUCUAAUUUGGUUUGUAAUUAUUCUUUAAA